CGGGAUUUGGAAGGGCGAUCAGCAGGAGAAAAGCUAAACAUUUGAUUCGGUGCGAAAUAUUGUUGAAAAAGUUGAUGGAAUCGGCGUUUUUAGUUUGAAACAGACGCAAUGACCGAGUCACUCACUUCUUUGGACGAUGAUUUGGAACGGCUGCACAGUCUUCCAAGGGAUGAGGUCAUGAGCUACCUUGAUAAAAAGCUGCCCACACUUCUGGAGUGUCUGAAAGAUUGUCAAAAUGAUCCUGCCGACGCUGUCAAAUCCUCUUGCAUCCUUUUCGACCACUGCCUUCAGUGCUGCGAAAGUAUCUCAAAAGCGGAGAAGUUAUUUCUCGGUUCAGCUCUUCCUCUGCUCAACCAACUCUUCGAAGAGAUUUAUUCGGGCAUUUCUAAGCAAGUCGAAGCCCAGAUCUUUGAAGUUGUUGACGGACUUCUGCAGGUCCUGAUAACGUUGGUGGGGUGCACAAAAAACUGUGUCCAGUUUUACUCAAAUUUUGAGAAAAUCCCAGCCGCAGAUAUGGAGCUUUUCAACACAUCGGUAAUGCCAUUGGUUCUAAAAGCUGUUGACCAUUGCAGCAAUAGCAAAAUUAUAUAUCAGUCUUUUGCUGAGACAUUAGCUGAUGAAUUGGCAUGUUUCACCAGAGAAGUUGGAGACCUCAUGACUAGACUUGUUUUGCUGUAUAAAGACGUGGUCACCUUUGACCCUGUUGAAAGAGAGUAUGAAAUAGUUGUUCUCUGUGCAGUUGCUGAAUUUUUUGGCGAAAUCGGCACGUUUUCGCAAAUAUUCAACGUUCGAAUCAUGACGGAGUGUUGGAAAAUGUUCAGCUUGUUGACCGGAACUCACUCUGAUUGUCUGGUGCCAAUUCUAAAAGUAGAUGUGCCUGUUUCUUACCUUUGCAAAGAAAUCCUCAGAUUGAAAAAGUCUGCCGUGGAAGAGGAAACUGAUGAGAAAACAGCAGAGCGGAUCCUAAAAGUUGCAAGCUUUCUGCUACGACUUCUGGUAAAUCUUUUGGAAUCUGGUUAUUCAAAGUCUUUGAGUGGCAGUGUCGAGGACCUGGUGCAAUUAAUUGUCUCCCUUCAAAAGUCUUCCGAACAAGUUCUGAAAAUUACUGGUGAAAAAGUCUCUAGGUCUGAAAUGGUUAACCGUCAACUGGUCAUUGGUGUUAGUUCUCUUGUCAGCGCACUCGUAGAUCACAAGAGAUUUUCUGAGAUAAUUUGCAAUUCUCUAUCGAAAUCAAAAAUGGAGCCCGUCAGUGAACUCUUGCUAGUGUCCACUAUUUUACAAGAAGCAGCAAAUUGCUCUCCAGAAGCUCGCAGUCACUGGAUAGCCCCAGAUGAAAAUUUAUUGAAACUUCAAAUGGAAUUGAUAGAAGAAUGUCCUUUCUCUCUGGCCCAAGUUUCAUCAGACUUGUCCGAGGCCAUUUACGAGGCAUGCUUGUCCUCCAGCUGCACUUUUGGCGUUUCUAUGACGGCUGACGAGUUCCUUGUGGUCGAGAAAACCCUGCUGUCCACCCUUUGCAGCUCACCGUCCACGCCGUGGCCCUGGAUUUUGGCAUCAGAUCUCUGGGUUUGCUUGGUCCGCAGUGCAGGCCCAGCUCUCUGCCUCGAACACAUUAAACUUUUGAGAUCCAUCAAAAUGUCCAUGCCAGAUGGUCCUCAGCAAAAAAUGAUCAGCACUUUGGAGCAUCGACUGACGCAAAUUUUGCCACAAGCAUCAGUUUCAGCAAUUGAGGUCACAUUGACUCAGUACGAGGUGCACAAAGUCACAAUAAAAGCCCUUCAACAAAUCGUUAGCCAGCCUUCGCAGAAUUCCUUCUGUGAGUGUCUUUCAGCCUUGGAUUUAAUAAUUGCAAAAAAGCCACACAACCAGCUUUUGACCCCGUUGCUACAACUUUUACCCUUCUGUCAGGACGGAGGGAUUGGUGAACAGUUUGGUAUCAAGGUUCUUGAAGCUUUGGUACUCUACGCAGAUGAAAUGGACAACCAGCAGCUAGAAACGGUGCUGACACAGUUUCCGUUUCUCCUUCCAGCCUCUUUGCGAAUAAAGUCCAUCAAGUUCAUCUCCAUACUGUCCAGUCGAACCCUAGCCAAGGACGGCCGACAACCAACAGUGAUCCGCUUGAUUUCCGAGGCCUUCAAUGACCUCCUGCAGAAUUUCAAUCCUGUUGUUCGAGAAUUUGCUUUGAAAGCUUUUGCCACUUUUGCGCACUGCUCACCACACGAGGAAGUCGUUCCGAUGGCAGUCGUAAGUUCGAAAGAGCUCCAAACAAAAGUGUCCACCUAUAUUCAGAAAAGCGCCUGUCCUUCAAGAAUCUCGGCCUUUGAGGAGCUUCGGAGACUGGCAAAGAUCAGAAGGCCUACUGAGAAGGAAUUCAGAGUUGAUUUUGCAGAAAAAGUUGCUCCAGACUUCAGCAGCUUAAAUGAUGAUGACUUUUUUGACCUGGAGGAUGAUGAGCUCCUUUUGGAGACAAGCCAGAGGUCCGAUCCACAAUCUCCGACGCGCAGCAGUAAACCUGAGGAGAUUGUGCUGAGUGAUGGAGUUGGGAGCAGCCAUCAAGAGCCUGCAGGUUUUUCCUCCGACUUGUCCCAGAUGUCUGCGAGAGAGGACGAGGGCGAACCUCAGGUGUUUGAAUUAACAUCGUUGGUGAACUCUUUAGUGAAAACUUUCAAGAAGGAACGAUUGUGCCCAACAGACACAAAGAAAAUCAGAAGGGCCAUUGUGAAGUUGCAGGGUAUUCUAGAGGAACCACUGUGAAAGAAAAUAUGCCAUAUUUAACGGAUUGUUUUUCGGACGCUGACACGCUCAAUUUUUUCUUUUAAAAGCCCUCGGGGUGUAAAUAUUUUAAAAUAAGAUUUGAUUUUAAUCUGAAAAAUUUUAAAUGAUCGUUUUGAAAUUUUUUUUGCCCACAUAUUUAAAUAUCUAUUUUAGUUUUUAUCUGAAAAAAAGAUUUGGUCGCAAAUUGUAUUGUACUAAGCGCAAGCGGGCACCUGUUUGAAUAAGUAGCGCUACCGCUCCUGUUGUGAAAGCGCGCGACCCUCCCCUCUCCCUCCAUCAAACUGUUUAUUUUUUUACCUGAAAUUAAAGCUAACUUGAAUGACGUUAACCCAUCACGCAUGAGCUGGGAGGGAACAAGGAAGAUCAGGCACAAAAACAAUAAUUUCUCUUACAUGCAUCUAACAGUUAUAAAAGCUGCACAGCUUGACGCCCAAAAAGCCGCCACGAUAAUCAUAACAACCGCUCUAUUUUCUGGCUUUCGGUAUUUACUUUGGUGCCUUCAACUUUGUUAUCUCAGUAUUGCACAGAGUGAGGACAGUGAGCAAUAAGGAAGGGCUCGUCACAA